rnacentral:rRNA from 1 species
UACGUAGGGUGCAAGCGUUAAUCGGAAUUACUGGGCGUAAAGCGUACGCAGGCGGCUUUGCAAGACAGAUGUGAAAUCCCCGGGCUUAACCUGGGAACUGCAUUUGUGACUGCAUGGCUGGAGUGCGGCAGAGGGGGAUGGAAUUCCGCGUGUAGCAGUGAAAUGCGUAGAUAUGCGGAGGAACACCGAUGGCGAAGGCAGUCCCCUGGGCCUGCACUGACGCUCAUGCACGAAAGCGUGGGGAGCAAACAGG